UAAUAAUUUAUGGUAUUAGGAGAGAAACCACAUGUGUCCGCACACACACGAGUGGGGUGUCUGCACUUGCUUCGUAGUGUCAUUUAUUUUUAUUUUUUUUAUUCGAUAACCAACAUUCAUACCUUUCUUUUAGUACAAAUUAUAUUUGGAUAAAAUGCGAAGACCCAGAUAAAACUCCAGCGAGAGAGCCUUCACUGGGUAUCACAAAAACUAGAAUCUUCAGGGAAAGGGAAAAAAAAUAAGAAUAAAGAAAUCGAUAUUGCUAUGGACCAACCGACAGAUAAGAAAACAUUUUGGAUUGAAACAUAGUGAUAACCAGCUAAUAAACAGUGUAAUCUCUGAUUGACGUGUUCAUCCUCCUUGAAGGGAUUCCUAAGUUUCUAAAAAGUUCUAUUGAUUCCAGCUAUAUAACAUUGCACCAUGUGUGUUCUAUGAGAUCUUACAGUUUUCAAACGGAAAGCAGGAUACAGUGGUAUGUUUGUCAAUAGAGAAAAUAAAGGAUUUCGGCUGGUAUUUAUCCUGAAACUGACAAUUAUUCCCAUCGAGAACCUUUGCACAUGUGGCACGUUUUCAACUCAUUUUUUGAAGGCAUACGAAUGAUGAAGUUUUUCCGACCGGGAUGAGGUAUAAAAGAACAAGUUAUCUCUAAGUAGUGACUGGAAGUGUGAUUAACUGGAUCUAAUCUUUAACAUUUCACUAAUAGAUGGAAGGAGAACAUGCCAUGGUUAGAACUGCAUCUAUUUUGGCAGUUUUACUGACUGAUGUCAAAAGAACAAGUUAUGUCAAAAUAUCCGUAAACAUUGAUCAACUGUAACUAAUUGUUUCCACACUUACAUGCAAACUGUAAUUGAUAAUUAUUAUCAGCUUGCUUCGUUCCUAUUUGUCAUUGUCUUGUUUCUCAUGUGUAUAAGGAGUCACCGAGAAAUGACAACGAAAUCUCUAUUAAAUAAUCGCAUCUUUACAAAAAUAACAAUAAAGAUUCCUGUCACAAAUCCACACUUCAGAAGUUGAGAGAUCUUCCCAAGUUUCUGAGUAUCCUUGGUAUUUGAUGUAAAUAUAACUUAGUCCCGCGGUGUUAUUGUCAUCCUGCAGCUAAUCCGUAUUCGAAUGUUAUAUUUUGGGUGAAGAAUUCAACAUAUUAGUGCUCUUACUAUACUUAUUGUUGAAUGACAGCAAGAUUAACAAAGAAGGUAAUAAUGGCCAAGAUAAAACAUACUAAUUUUUGUGUAUCAUUAAACGUUUUACCUAAUUUGAGAAAAUAAAUUCCGGUAUAA